AUGGUUAUCAACCGCUGCGGCUUACGCGGAUUAACUUCUGAACGCCGAGGCCGGUCCCGUUACUUGGGUUCGUGCUGUUUGCUCACGUGAAUCACAUCACACGCGCUGAUGCAUCAGGAAGUGGCUGGAGCCCGUACUCAGUGGAAGAUGUUUCCAUCCCGGAGCUGAGGGGACAACUCUGGAGGCAGAACAUUCCAGUAAGGGAGUGACCCAGAAGGCAACGUCUCCAUCCAGCCAAGGCCUUCGCUCUCGCCUCGCACGGGAAGCAUGGCUGCAGACAGUCACGCGUUCAGAGAGGAGGCCCCUCUGGUGGGCACGGCGCGGGACGCGGCUCGGGCUUCCUGGAGCAGGUGUGCAGAGCGGGCCUCUUCUUUCCCGGUUCCGAUCCCGGCCGGAAUGCACUCGGGAGCACAGAGCAGCGGGAGCUCUCGGCGUUUAUUUAAAGAAGCCGAAAGGUUAAAACCACCCAGUGGUCCGCAGAGCGGAAGGACAGGCCCUUUCAAGCAGCCUGGCCCCGUGCGACCCGGGCCGUGUGGGUCUUCCAGUUCGUCGGCACGCACACUCGUGUCUCCCGACUCCAGGCUACACGGCAGCGUGCUAGGCAAUGAGGCGAAACCGGGAGCCAGCAGCCCGUGGGGCCGGCUCUGUGCUCACAUCCCUCACACCCUCCGCAUACAGCUGGCGCCUCUCCCCACCGCAGGAGGCGGGCGUUGUCAUUAUCCCUCGCUUGCGGACGGCGAAACUGAGGCGUGGGGGACGGCGAGGCCUGGCAGCGUACGGGGCAGAGCUGGGGUUUGGAGCCAGGUUGUGCGGCCCCAGCGUCCAAGCUCGAGGCCGUCCGAGCUCACUUGCCUCCGCGAGACCUCUCUCCUGGGCUCUGCUCCAGACUGACCUCCCCAGAGCCCUCUGCUCCUGCCGACAAGCAGGUUAGAAACGGACCCCGACCUCCACCGUGGGAAGGGCCACCCCACACUCAUCACACUCAGAGCCCUGAGGUCCGACGGGUGAGGGGCUUCGUCUGAGCCCCCACCCCCCCCCCCGGCCAUGGCUCCCUGCGUCACUCCCGGCUGUGUCCCCAGAAAGCCCCCCGGAGCCACACGGAGGCACCGCCACACACGUGCAGAAUCGGAAUCACCAGGUUGCAACAGUCCAUCCCUCAAGUGCAACCCUCAAGGGGAAGCUCUUAGCUCUUUGGUCUCUGGACACGGGAGACUGAGAGACGAAAACCACCAUCAGGUAGGUGCCCCCCCCAAGGCCGUGCCGCUGCCCGUGGCCUCCCCGAGAAGGCUUUGCUCCCAGAGACCCACCGACUCUGGCCCCAGACUCCCCGAGUGGGAAGCAAGGUGGUGGAGGGGUGCUGGGGCACAGCAGGGCCUGCUCACACACGCCGGCUUCGCCCGGACAGGCUCCGAGGUGCAGGGGAAGUGUGUCCGGUGGGAGCGUCGAGUGCAGAGGUGCCCCUGGGCCCCCGUUUGCCGGCCUGGUAUCGACAGUACCUGCAGUCUGGUCCAGUGUUUUAGGAUUUGCUGUCUGACUCGCACAGCAAACCCUGCCCGUCUCUCGAAGUCAUAGGAAGGUCCACGUGCCUGCCCGGCGAGAGGGAGCAGAAGCCCAAGCGGAGGGCACU